rnacentral:rRNA from 1 species
AACGAACGCUGGCGGCAUGCCUAACACAUGCAAGUCGAACGAGACCUUCGGGUCUAGUGGCGCACGGGUGCGUAACGCGUGGGAACCUGCCCUUAGGUUCGGAAUCACUCCCUGAAAGGGGUGCUAAUACCGGAUAAUGUCUCCGGACCAAAGUUUUAUCGCCUUUGGAUGGGCGCGCGUUGGAUUAGCUAGCUGGUAGGGUAAAAGCCUACCAAGGCGACGAGCCAUAGCUGGUCUGAGAAGAUGAUCAGCCAUACUGGGACUGAGACACGGCCCAGACUCCUACGGGAGGCAGCAGUGCUGAAUAUUGGACGAUGGGCGAAUGCAGAAUCCAGCAAUGCCGCGUGAGUGAUGUAGGCCUUAGGGUUGGAAAGCUCUUUUACACGGGAUGAUAAUGACAGUACCGGGAGAAUAAGCUCCGGCUAACUACGUG